rnacentral:rRNA from 1 species
GAUGAACGCUGGCGGCGUGCCUAAUACAUGCAAGUCGAGCGAACGGACGAGAAGCUUGCUUCUCUGAUGUUAGCGGCGGACGGGUGAGUAACACGUGGAUAACCUACCUAUAAGACUGGGAUAACUUCGGGAAACCGGAGCUAAAACCGGAUGAUAUUUUGAACCGCAUGGUUCAAAAGUGAAAGACGGUCUUGCUGUCACUUAUAGAUGGAUCCGCGCUGCAUUAGCUAGUUGGUAAGGUAACGGCUUACCAAGGCAACGAUGCAUAGCCGACCUGAGAGGGUGAUCGGCCACACUGGAACUGAGACACGGUCCAGACUCCUACGGGAGGCAGCAGUAGGGAAUCUUCCGCAAUGGGCGAAAGCCUGACGGAGCAACGCCGCGUGAGUGAUGAAGGUCUUCGGAUCGUAAAACUCUGUUAUUAGGGAAGAACAUAUGUGUAAGUAACUGUGCACAUCUUGACGGUACCUAAUCAGAAAGCCACGGCUAACUACGUG